rnacentral:rRNA from 1 species
CCUACGGGAGGCAGCAGUGGGGAAUAUUGGACAAUGGGCGAAAGUCUGAUCCAGCCAUGCCGCGUGUGUGAAGAAGGCCUUCGGGUUGUAAAGCACUUUCAGUGGGGAAGAAAGCCUUGGGGCUAAUACCCUCGAGGAAGGACAUCACCCACAGAAGAAGCACCGGCUAACUCCGUGCCAGCAGCCGCGGUAAUACGGAGGGUGCGAGCGUUAAUCGGAAUUACUGGGCGUAAAGCGCGCGUAGGCGGUCUGAUAAGCCGGUUGUGAAAGCCCCGGGCUCAACCUGGGAACGGCAUCCGGAACUGUCAGGCUAGAGUGCAGGAGAGGAAGGUAGAAUUCCCGGUGUAGCGGUGAAAUGCGUAGAGAUCGGGAGGAAUACCAGUGGCGAAGGCGGCCUUCUGGACUGACACUGACGCUGAGGUGCGAAAGCGUGGGUAGCAAACAGGAUUAAUACCCUAGUAGUC